rnacentral:rRNA from 1 species
CCUACGGGAGGCUGCAGUGGGGAAUCUUGCGCAAUGGGCGAAAGCCUGACGCAGCGACGCCGCGUGAGCGAUGAAGGCCUUCGGGUUGUAAAGCUCUGUGGGGAGAGAAGAAUAAGGGUUGGCUAACAUCCAACCUGAUGACGGUAUCUCCUUAGCAAGCACCGGCUAACUCUGUGCCAGCAGCCGCGGUAAGACAGAGGCGGCAAACGUUGGCGGGAAUCGCUGGGCGUCGAGUUGGCAUAGCGGAUGUGAAAUCCCACGGCUCAACCAUGGAAGUGCAUUCGAAACUGCCAGACUAGAGUCCUGGAGAGGAAGGCGGAAUACUCGGUGUAGAGGUGAAAUUCGUAGAUAUCGAGUGGAACACCGGUGGCGAAGGCGGCCUUCUGGACAGUGACUGACGCUGAAACGCGAAAGCGUGGGGAGCAAACAGGAUUAGAUACCCCGGUAGUC